rnacentral:misc_RNA from 1 species
CAACCCCUCAAGCCCUGCUUGGUGCUGGGGCCCUACGUGCGCCGUAGGCCCCGAAUUACAGUGGCGGGCUCGCCGCGAUCCCGAGCGUAGUAACACACCUCGCUCUGGGGCUCCGCGGCGGGCGCCGGCCGUGAAAACGACCAAACACAAACGCAA